AUUGAACGCUGGCGGCAGGCCUAACACAUGCAAGUCGAGCGGAGCGGCGGGCGGGUGAGUAAUGACUAGGAAUCUGCCUGGUAGUGAGGGCUAAGGUCCGGAAAGGGGCGCUAAUACCGAAUACUAUCAGAUGAGCCUAGGUCGGAUUAGCUAGUUGGUGGGGUAAAGGCCUACCAAGGCGACGAUCCGUAACUGGUCUGAGAGGAUGAGCAGGCACACUGUAACUGAGACACGGUCCAGACUCUUACGAGAGGCAGCAGUGGGGAAUAUUGGACAAUGGGCGAAAGCCUGAGCCCGCCAUGCCGCGUGUGUGAAGAAGGUCUUCGGAUUGUAAAGCACUUUAAGUUGGGAGGCGUUACCAACAGAAUAAGCACCGGCUAACUUCGUGCCAGCAGCCGCGGUAAUUC
rnacentral:rRNA from 1 species